AGACAAGAAGCCCAAGGACUAAACUUGGGUAACCCAGAACUGAAUCUGGAGACAUGUGAAGGAGCCAGUAAAGGAUGCUGAGAAAUGGCCGACACACAGAGUGAUACCAGGGACGUGGUGCCAAGGGAAAAGACCGUGUUGGAGCACAGUGAGACGGUGGGCAUCUGCAAGCCAAACAGAGAGGCCCUGUGAGACACCAACCAGAUCUGCCAACUCCUUGAGCUUGGACUUCAGGCCUCCAGAACUGUGAGAAAAUAAAUGUCUGCUGCUUAAGUUACCCAUUCUGCGGUGUUUUGUUAUGGCAGCCCUGGAAAACUGAUACAAGCCAUUUGAAAGAAAGUUGCCGACAUCAUGAAACUUCUCUGGAAAAUCUUCAAUUGCCACUUUCUAAGACUAAGGAUAUUCUCCUACAUAACCACAUUGAAAUCCUGGUUCCUGACAGCAUCAGUAUAUAUUUUUUUCUUUAUUCUACAAUAUAUAUAAAAUAGCUUUAGAAUUCCAAUAUUAAUAUCACUACCAGUCAUAAAUCUCUGAAGUAGAGUUUAGAUUGUUUGAAGUCCCUUUUUUAUUUAGAUUAUGAGGACACUAAGCAUGUGUAAUCAUGAUACGGUGUUUAGUACAAAAAUGGGUAAUUCAAGUUAAUUCUAACAGUUACUUUGUAGAUCCUUAGUGAGAUAUGUGAGGACGAAAGAGAUCUGUAAACAGAUAUUAUGAUACAGACAUUUAUUUGUUUCCUUUUAUACUCACUUUUAGAGUUUUCUUUUUAAAAUAAUUUCAUUGCUUUUUUUAAUGAAUCACUUUUACUUGGUUCAACAGUCAGAACAAUAAAGAUAGUUACAUUCAAAGAAUUACCACUCCCAUCCUUGACUUCCACUGUGUUGCCAUCCUACUCCAUAAUUAGAUAUUUUCAUGGAGCUCCUGUUUUAUCCUUUCUGUGUUUCCUUUUUGGCAAAAAAUAAGCAAAUAUAUACACAUAUUCUUAUUUUCCUUUAUUUUUUACACCAUAGUGUACCAUAUAUUCCUUAUUUUUUUUCAUUUAAUAUUUCCUGGAAAUCAUUCUGUAUCAGUUUAUAGAAACCUUUUCUUCCUUUU